CCUACGGGUGGCAGCAGUGAGGAAUAUUGGUCAAUGGGCGCAAGCCUGAACCAGCCAAGUCGCGUGAGGGAUGACGGUCCUAUGGAUUGUAAACCUCUUUUGUCGGGGAGCAAGGCCCGCCACGUGUGGCGGGAAGGAGAGUACCCGAAGAAAAAGCAUCGGCUAACUCCGUGCCAGCAGCCGCGGUAAUACGGAGGAUGCGAGCGUUAUCCGGAUUUAUUGGGUUUAAAGGGUGCGUAGGCGGGCCUUCAGGCCGGCGGUAAAAUUGCGGGGCUCAACCCCGCCGAGCCGUCGGAACCGGGGGCCUUGAGUACCGGAGAAGUACGCGGAAUGCGUGGUGUAGCGGUGAAAUGCAUAGAUAUCACGCAGAACCCCGAUUGCGAAGGCAGCGUACCGGCCGGUCACUGACGCUGAGGCACGAAAGCGCGGGUAUCGAACAGGAUUAGAUACCCGAGUAGUC
rnacentral:rRNA from 1 species